rnacentral:rRNA from 1 species
GGGAAAACUGAAGGCCAAUCGCGGAUACGGUUCUCAUGCUGGAGUGCAGAGAACCGGAAACGUUCCGGCGCUGUAGGAUGUGGCUGCGGCCGAUUAGGUAGAUGGUGGGGUAACGGCCCACCAUGCCGAUAAUCGGUACGGGUUGUGAGAGCAAGAGCCCGGAGACGGUAUCUGAGACAAGAUACCGGGCCCUACGGGGCGCAGCAGGCGCGAAACCUUUACACUGCACGACAGUGCGAUAGGGGGACUCCGAGUGCGAGGGCAUAUAGCCCCCGCUUUUCUGUACCGUAAGGUGGUGCAGGAACAAGGACUGGGCAAGACCGGUGCCAGCCGCCGCGGUAAUACCGGCAGUCCAAGUGAUGGCCGAUAUUAUUGGGCCUAAAGCGUCCGUAGCCUGCUGUGUAAGUCCAUUGGGAAAUCGACCAGCUCAACUGGUCGACGUCCGGUGGAAACUACACGGCUUGGGGCCGAGAGACUUGACGGGUACGUCCGGGGUAGGAGUGAAAUCCUGUAAUCCUGGACGGACCACCAAUGGCGAAAGCACGUCAAGAGACCGGACCCGACGGUGAGGGACGAAAGCCAGGGUCUCGAACCGGAUUAGAUACCCGGGUAGUCCUGGCUGUAAACAAUGCUCGCUAGGUAUGUCACGCGCCAUGAGCACGUGAUGUGCCGUAAUGAAGACGAUAAGCGAGCCGCCUGGGGAAGUACGUCCGCAAGGAUGAAACUU